CCUAAAUGCAGAUGAAAAAGAUAAAAGGUAGAGAGAGAGAGAGGUGGCUUCUUCCCAACGCAGCCCACAUGGCGUGUGAGUAAUUAAUCCAUCAUGCGGCGAAGGCGACAUUACCCAAUGAGCAGUCAUGUAAAACUUCAAAAAAAGUUUUAAUUGAAAAUAUCAAAAGGUGAAUUAAGUUACCAGAUUUGAAUCAAAUCCAUUCAUUAUUUCAACGAAACAUUCUCUCCUUAACCUUUCACUCUCAAAAUUCAUUCGCCGGGAAAAAAAAGGAAAGAAAGAAAAAACACGGUGGCUUGCGGUAGUUACAACCACCUUCUUUGGACGACCCUCUACAAAAAAUUGAUCUGGGUUAAUGGCCAAAGAAACUUGAAGACUAUUCUGGUAAAGGAACACGAGGAUGGAUCGAAUGAUAACUCGUUACCACCGAUGUCUGGUCCUGGGCAUAACAGGGUUCACAUUAGAGAAAUUUGAUUGUAGAAUCGUCUCUUAAUGCCAAGCUCAGGUGGAGGAUAGGGAUGAAGGUUAUGAAUGCUUGGACAAGAGGUGGGCAAGAGCUGCCCAAAGCUUUGAAGGAUUUGAGUUUAAGAUUUGGAUGCAAAACCCUUCUUUUUUCCUUUUUUUGUAACAUAUUCGAAAUUCUAAACUCCAAGUGUCUUUGUAUUUUCAUUAACUUGAAUCCUGGUCUAAUUAAUCCUGGUCUAAUUCUAAACUCCAAGUGUCUAAAAGUUGAGUAGAAGAAACUUUAAACUUUUUCUGGA